AAUCAUAAAAUGAUUCAUAAUUCGCAAAUGAUGAUAAUAAGAAGAAGAUUGAAAAACUUUAAUGGUGUCUUAAUCUUCUCACACUUGUUCUUGUCACCAAUUUUAGUUUAAAAAGCAACUCUCCUUUACUUGGGCGAGAUUAUUGAGUGUAUACAGGGUUAGGAUAAGUUUCUCAUGAUUUACACUUUGGCCCUCAAACUUCUUGGCUAUCUCCAGAUCCACCGCGGUCGUGGCACAACUGCAGUAUUUUACAGACAUUAUGUUUCUCUCCUUCUUUCACCGUGUUCCAGCCGCGGUCCCACCGCGGUCGUGGUGAGCUGUUGCUCCAUUUUCUUCGCCUUUUCUUGCUUGUUUUCAUCUGGACUCUUCUCGAUUGGCCUUGUAUCUAUAUAUUUGACCCCCAAAACACUCUGUAAUCUCCUCCUAACUCGGAGUAGUUCCUGCAAAGCAUACAAACCUCAAUUAGAGUAUCUUGUUAUCAUUUAGCACGUAAAACAUCAAUAAAGUAUGGUUAACUUAAGGCAUAAAUAGCAUCUACAUCAUAUAAUAUAGGCUACUAUCACCUAACUAAGGCGACUUCAUAAUAGUGCUUGAACCCGAGAUUUUUAGUUAAGAAUAAGAGAGUACUUACAACACCACUAUCCCUAUUAGUUACGUAUACCCAUGGGAGGAUCCAUAGUCUAGUGUAUGGGGUACGU
rnacentral:lncRNA from 1 species